rnacentral:rRNA from 1 species
AUGAACGCUAGCUACAGGCUUAACACAUGCAAGUCGAGGGGCAGCAUGGUCUUAGCUUGCUAAGGCCGAUGGCGACCGGCGCACGGGUGAGUAACACGUAUCCAACCUGCCGUCUACUCUUGGACAGCCUUCUGAAAGGAAGAUUAAUACAAGAUGGCAUCAUGAGUCCGCAUGUUCACAUGAUUAAAGGUAUUCCGGUAGACGAUGGGGAUGCGUUCCAUUAGAUAGUAGGCGGGGUAACGGCCCACCUAGUCUUCGAUGGAUAGGGGUUCUGAGAGGAAGGUCCCCCACAUUGGAACUGAGACACGGUCCAAACUCCUACGGGAGGCAGCAGUGAGGAAUAUUGGUCAAUGGGCGAGAGCCUGAACCAGCCAAGUAGCGUGAAGGAUGACUGCCCUAUGGGUUGUAAACUUCUUUUAUAAAGGAAUAAAGUCGGGUAUGGAUACCCGUUUGCAUGUACUUUAUGAAUAAGGAUCGGCUAACUCCGUGCCAGCAGCCGCGGUAAUACGGAGGAUCCGAGCGUUAUCCGGAUUUAUUGGGUUUAAAGGGAGCGUAGAUGGAUGUUUAAGUCAGUUGUGAAAGUUUGCGGCUCAACCGUAAAAUUGCAGUUGAUACUGGGUGUCUUGAGUACAGUAGAGGCAGGCGGAAUUCGUGGUGUAGCGGUGAAAUGCUUAGAUAUCACGAAGAACUCCGAUUGCGAAGGCAGCCUGCUAAGCUGCAACUGACAUUGAGGCUCGAAAGUGUGGGUAUCAAACAGGAUUAGAUACCCUGGUAGUCCACACGGUAAACGAUGAAUACUCGCUGUUUGCGAUAUACUGCAAGCGGCCAAGCGAAAGCGUUAAGUAUUCCACCUGGGGAGUACGCCGGCAACGGUGAAACUCAAAGGAAUUGACGGGGGCCCGCACAAGCGGAGGAACAUGUGGUUUAAUUCGAUGAUACGCGAGGAACCUUACCCGGGCUUAAAUUGCAGAUGAAUUACGGUGAAAGCCGUAAGCCGCAAGGCAUCUGUGAAGGUGCUGCAUGGUUGUCGUCAGCUCGUGCCGUGAGGUGUCGGCUUAAGUGCCAUAACGAGCGCAACCCUUGUUGUCAGUUACUAACAGGUUCCGCUGAGGACUCUGACAAGACUGCCAUCGUAAGAUGUGAGGAAGGUGGGGAUGACGUCAAAUCAGCACGGCCCUUACGUCCGGGGCUACACACGUGUUACAAUGGGGGGUACAGAGGGCCGCUACCACGCGAGUGGAUGCCAAUCCCCAAAACCUCUCUCAGUUCGGACUGGAGUCUGCAACCCGACUCCACGAAGCUGGAUUCGCUAGUAAUCGCGCAUCAGCCACGGCGCGGUGAAUACGUUCCCGGGCCUUGUACACACCGCCCGUCAAGCCAUGGGAGCCGGGGGUACCUGAAGUGCGUAACCGCGAGGAGCGCCCUAGGGUAAAACUGGUGACUGGGGCU